CGAUAGGCUUCAUAGUAGAAGAAGCCUGUGGUCAUCGCAGGUGGUGCCGAUGCUGUCCUUAUCACUGAAUUUGAAGGAUUGCUUGAACAGCUUGUAAUGAGAGUGGCUAAAGUAUUGAUUUUGGACUACAUCUGAAUAUGGAAAAGGCGACGGUUUUGAAUCUUGGAGAGCUGACCUCACAGGGAAAAAUAGCAUCUUCACAGAAGCAGUUUUUAGGGAGUGAAAAGUAAAGCAUUGUUUCCAUGGCCAAAGACGUCUCCGUGAAAGACUCGCAUAUUCUGAAUUAAGGACAAAGAGUGGUUCUCCUCCAGUUUUCCUAUUCCAUCUUUGAGUAUCUUGUUUGGAGCAUUAGAUAGCUGGGUUCACAAGUCAAGGGCACAGGUUCAAUCAUCACGCAGGCUAGUGACCUUCAGUAUUUCCUGGCCACAGAUACCUGCCUUCUUCUAGCUGUUGUCUUGAAUGACUGUGUAGUUGGUUCCAAGGGAAUUAAGGGAGGAAGGGGUGACAGAUGAAAGCCAUCUAUGACCUCUAUUGGCAAAACAACUCAUAACCUAUAGAGCACAGGUCAGUAGUGGCGCCUUUUAAGGAAAAUCAGCACAUGGAGCUUAUGCCACCAGGAAGAGUCAUGUGCUUAUAAACUGGAUCAUGGUAAAUUUUCAUUGAAAGUAUGCAUUGGUACUAAUGCUAAGAAUGGAUGCAAAGCCAGUCAACGAAGCAGCAGAAAAGGUGACAGUCUCAUGUUGGCCAUGGGGUACUCUCUGCGUCAUGCUAGAAAGAGUUUAUGGUCCCACCUGCAUCCAUGAGAAAGAGAAAACAAAGCUUCAAUUUUAAGUCCUUGGAAAUUCCAUGCCAUUAAGAAACUGCUACUGCCAGCUUUCUGGCGUUAUUCAAAGGGGUAAAAAGUUCAUUACACUAGUGUUCUUAUAAGUGUUGGUUUUAUUUCAUAUUAUUUGAAGAGCUAUUCUGCUUAGUAACAAUAAAUUGCUUGGAAGAUGUCAGACCUGUGUUUGGGUUAGGGGUUGCUUUUAGCUGCAAGUAAGAACACUCACAAAAGAGGGGCUUAAAUGCAACAAAAGGGGAAGGGCUAAGGGCAAAAGGCACAUGACUUCAGCAUCUGUCCCUUAUAGCGAUAACCAUAUUUUCUCUAGAUGCUCAUUGGACAGAAC
rnacentral:lncRNA from 10 species